rnacentral:lncRNA from 1 species
UCCUCAAUGGCUUGAUAGGCCCUGCUACACCAGGGCAACUCUGGCAAAUUCUCUUUUCUUCUCAUGGAAAUGAACCUCUGCCCAGAGGCUGGAAUAAAAGCAAAAAAUAGCUCACGUCUUUCAUUCAAGGACACACCAAGUUAUAGAUUCCCUUCCCUUCACAAACACUUAGCAUCUUCAUGAAGAGUUUACCUUUAACUUCAAAAUCCAAAUAGCUCUUUUGAAUCCAUUGCAGUUUCAUAAUUUAGGCUUUUAUAUGUUUCUUUUUUUUUUUUUUUUUUUUUUGAGACGGAGUUUCACUCUUGUUGCCCAGGCUGGUCUUGAACUCCUGGACUCAAGCAAUCCUCUUGCCUUGGCCUCCCAAAGUGCUGGGAUUAAGGUCAUAAGCCAUCGCGCCCAGCCUUAAAUAAUUUAUCUUUCUCCCUCCUCCCUCUGCCUAAGGUAAUU